UAUAUAUAUAUCGACGCUAAAAAAAGGAAGACCGAUCGAUAUUAGAUAUCAACACCGAAGCGUAGGCGUGACGCGUGAAUCGCGAUCCUUUCACUUUCUCCGACAGGAAAACGGAAGAUCGUCUUGUGCGACGGGGGGCUGAGGGGGAGGAAAAUAAUGGAGGAGUAGAAAAAAAAUAUUGUACUGGUACCAGAAGAAGUUUUUCCGGUAUCCUUCGCUGCCUGUGUACCAAGAUAUAAUUAACGAAUUCGAGACUGAAGCUGAAGUACAUUCUGCCAUCCAUGAAGACUUUCCUAGUUCCCCUCCGAUGAGCCACCCUGCGUGCUGUUCGCAUUCGUAACAGACAGUGUAUAUAUAUAUAUAUUGUAUAUACAAAUUUAACCUAAGAUACGUAUAUACACUUACUAUGCAUAGUACCACAGUGCGUGUAAUGUUUGUCGUUCGAACGAUACGAAAAAUCUAGCAAACACUUUUUGUUGACUGAAUUGGCUUUCUCGUAGGAAAAAAUCAUACAGGAUCAAUAUACCGUGGUAUAGGUGGUACACGUCUAUAUGGAUGGUAGACAUUUUGAUACUGUAUAUAUAUGUAUACCUUCGACGUGGCAGACCUAUCUCGGCUGGCUGGUCGCCGGUUUCUCUCGUGUUAAUUAGCAAAAGUUUGCCGUGCAAUAAACGCGUCCAGUUUUACGUAACGCGAACUAGCCGGACAUUCUGGGCUUUUUAGCCGGAGGUGGGAAUACGUAAGAGAGGCAGCAACGCGGGUACAGGUAAAUGAUCUGCGUGUUGUAUAUUUAUAGAGAUGUAAUUAUUACGAUUAUACGGUGGAUAUUUUUUUAGUUAACAUACAACCGGUAUCUAUUUUUAACUGAACCGAAUAGAAGUUGAUGUAUUUUCAUUGCAGUAAUCUGUGUUUACGCUCGUUCAAUAUUUAGUUACGUGGUUUGUUGAGGUUCUAUUAAAUUUGUGCGUAAAAAAAUUAUUUUGCUUUUUGGGGGUUUAUCAAUAGUGAGAUGAACGGCUCUUCGUGCACAGUUAAAUAUUUUCGAAAAUCGGGGUGAUAACGGAGAUGCGGUUGGGGAGAUAAUUACUUUUUAAUUAUUAUAUGGUUAUAUUGGACAUCUAUCUUAUCAGACUGUCAAUAUCGACAUAGGUGUUUCCAUUUUGCGGAAUAUCACGCAAAUAUAAACGGGUACGAGAUCCGUGUCUUAGGAUCAAUCGGGUGACUGUCUUGUAUACUGCGGUGCCGGAGUAAAAUGAUUCGCGAAUGUUUCAUUGAGAUCGUUUAACCUUGAGAAGGUAUCGGAUCAAAAAAUGAUUUAGAGUACAGGUGAAAAAAAAAGUUUGUACAUUCAAGUAGGCGUAUACUCGUAGGAAGGAUUUUGAAAAAUUUUCUCGGAUCCCAAGGACGCAUCGUUGUAGCGAAACAGGCAGACGUGGACGAAUACGACGAUUUGAGGCUCUCGUGAAAUUUCGAGAAUCUGAUAUACUUUUAUCAGUUAUCACCGUAUCCGAAUAUUUGGUCGUACCAGCUGAACGAAACGUCAUUGAAAAAACAGCAGAUCGGUUCGCGCUCUGUACGUAUAUUCAUCCUGCCUUUCGUAUCAAGAUCGAACUAUUUGUUUUCGCUUGAAAUAAUUCUUCACGUCGGCUCGUUGUUUCAUGGUGAAGUUCGAUUUCUGUUUUUUCGUCCAACGAGAUGAAAUUGUAGGAAUCGAAUGAAGGAAAAAAAUCAUCUGGGAUAGAAAUUGGUUGAAUAAUUUUUGUUAAGUGAAAAUAUCGAGUUUUUAUGAAAAAUAUUUUCAUGACGUAAACACGAUCGGAUGAUUCUUGGUUGGAUUGGUAAUGCUUAUAGACCUUCUAAGUAUGCAUUUUCGUUUAUCAUUACCAGAUAAGGCAAAGCUGUUAAUGAGUCACGUGUUAUGAGAAUUCAUUGAAUUCUCGUUAAGAAUCUUUGAUUUUGAUGAGAAAAUAAAAAAUUGUACACAGAUUCACAUAAAUUUGUUUUGUCUUAAGGGAUUUUUUAUAAAGGACGUGUGAAUUUUUAAUUAAUUAUUGAAAUUAGUAAUGGGCCAUUUUCUACCGGAAGUCCCCGUUUAUGCCGUGUACCUGUAUAUUGGUACCUGCAGAAUUUCAGGGUCACGUCCAAUGACCCGUGGAUUACUUCGGAUCCUGACUGUAAUGUACAGUAGUGGUAUGCGUAAGGGAUGGACACGAGUGACCACGCGACAGAAAAGGGUUGACGAGUUUUGCCCUUUAAACUAGCGGUUACAACUAAAUAACAAGGGACGUACCCUGCGCCUGUUUGACUGGUUCAUAGGUCAGUAGUCAUUGUUCGGUAAUGAUUCAUGAUAGUUGGGUAAAGUCAUAGCGAGGCAGGAAAGAUUACACGUAGCUUUGGGGUAGUUUGGGAAAAUUGUUAAAUUGAGGAUGAAGCUGGGGAGGAUCGAGUGAAUAGGAAUAGGGGUAAAACGAGAGUGAAAUAGCGUACCAUUUAUUUUAUGGUGUUUAGGUAUUAUGGCUGAUUUUCACUUUUUCAAAGUUUCCACCAAAUAGCACGUAUAGAGGGUAGUGUUUUAAGUUUGCUUUGUACUACAGCUUUUCUGCGAGCUUUCGCUGGGUUAAUCCUGCUUUUGUGGGAUGAAAGGUUUCUUUUUUAAAUAAUAGCAUGGUCAAAGUCAGAAAUCCGGCGUGGGUCGAGAUAGAUCCCUGGUAAAAAUUUCAUUUUCAAAUUUGGGAAUUUGUCAAGGGUCCAGUUAGGCUUGUAUAGGCCUAUAGCAGGGACCCAGACAGAUCUCAGAUUUGCGAAAGGAUAUUUCUACUGGCUUUGGGUAUAAAGGGUGAAUUUUGAAAUACACAAUAUACACCUUUGUUAGGCUAGAUGCGUCUAUGUUCAUAUUUUAGCAUUAUUAUUCGGUGGGAUGUUUAAAGAAAAUUAGUCACGUUAAUAGGUAUACACGUAAGUAGUGAUCUGGGGUAAUAUUCGCCAGGCUUAAAGAGAAAGGGAAGCUGUUUAGGGUUUUAUGGGGGUUCGGUAAACACAAAAGCUGUAUACUGCUCCAAGAAGUGUUUACCCCGAGUUUUGAAUGUAUAAAACAUUUGCAGUUUAAAUUUCUUUCGGUUUUCAUUGAAACGAAUUUUUGAAGAAAAGAAAUUUCGUGCACGGGUAGGAGGCUGGUAUAGGGCUAACAGAACUUUGACCUCUUUCGAAAGACAACCCAGGGGUUACACUCAUCUCCGUUGAAGGACUAGACCUAUUAAACGACUCUUGCUACACGCCUCUUCAUAAAUCCACCGAAUAAGAAACUUCUCUAGUCCUGGAGAUUCCCAUAAAAAAAUUCUUUUAUCGUGUCCCAUCCAGUUUACAAGAGUCGUCCAGUUCGAGCGGUAGGGUAACUGAAAUAAGUGCACUGCACUUUCCUUUAAGUAGCUACUUUUCUGUUGUGUAUAAAAUUUUUGUAUGAUCCAAGCAUCAGGAUUAAUUAGACUCUUAAUAUACAAAAUUCAACUUUCAAUCCAUUUGCAUUCCUAGGGAGUAAUUCGAUGUAAAUCCCUGGCGUUUAUGACGAUCGAUAAAUCCAUCAAGUCUAAAAAUACAUAUACGUAAUGUGUAUACGCACAUAGGCAUAAUGCAUGUAAGGUGAGAUAAGAUGCCGGUAUAGUAUGACAGAGAUUACUGAAAGACACAUAAGACUUGAUCGGGUGUAAAUCUGGAGCCAGCAUAAUUAUCUAUCAAGUGUAUAUACUCACAGUACUUUUGCGUUUAUAAGCUAUGUAUAGAUUUUUGCUAUGCCUUUUCUCAUACGUAUAUAUAUAUACGCAGAGUCUCCGUACUGUCUUUUGGGUUACUCGAUGACGCGUCAUAGAUAACCUACGGUUCAGCGCCACCAUAAUAGUCGUACACCGUAGGCCACAUAAAAGACAUACGUACAUAGGCUACCGCCUUAUAUCAGCUUGUACGGCUGCGAUAAAACAAACGGAACAGCUGGGCCGUUGCUAUAUUGUAAACUUCCACAGUGUCUUUGCACCUUCUCGUCUGUCCGUCUCAGAUCCGAGAAUUUCUUAUCUCACGGCAGGUAUCGUCAUCUCGGCACGAGUCUCGCUGGAGCGUCGGGGAUCAUAACAGCCACGUGCCCAAGAAAGAAAGCUAACAUACGGAACCACGUUGGGUUGUAAAUAAAAAGAAUUCUUAGGUCCGAUGCCAGAAUAAAGAAUCUCAUAUAUUUUACAGGAAUCAAUGAUAAUCUGAAUACUUAUUGAGGUUCAAAUAAUAAUUCAAAGGCUUAAGAAAUAAGACCGUUAUCGGGGACGAUCAAAAUAGAUGAUCGAUGCGAUCCGAUACUUACUUUUUUAAAUCAGAAAGUUCGUUAGAGUGAUAGUUUGAACCGUGUCGAAGUCUGUAUAAAAAUCCAUCCAAAGGUUAAAUAACUGCACUGUUUAAUAAGAGAGCGUACCUGCUGUAAUGGCUAGACUCUUGGCAGUUAAAAACAUCGACCAAUUUCUUCUGUCCGAAUGAAUCGAGUUCACGACUAAACGAGGUAUCGAUUAAGACGAGUGUGACGUUAGAGAAUCGAAGACUGAGGAAUGAGGAACGAGGAACGAGCGCAACGGGUACACGCGUGCCUCUUCUAAUUGUAAGUUGAGCAGCGCGUUCCUGUGGUCUGCGGUCGUGAUACUGAGUGGCCGAGUAACGUAAUGGCGGACGUCACAGAGGUACACGAGAGCAACAGCGGCGGGAAAUUCGAUGAGCGUACCGUAACGGGAAUGGCGACGCUCUUCCCGGUAGUUUCCGCUUUAUUUCGGACGUUCUAAUUCAGUGACAAUCAUCCUAGAAACACGUUAGAAACAGUAUGUCGCAAAUGUUACCCAGAAGGAAUUGGACGUUGUCGCAAUGGUGAAAGUCGCAAGGUAACGCGAAGUGAUCGAUCUGCGAAGGAGGAGACUCGUGCAUUCGUAUCGCGAAGGAGAAUCUAGAAAACGUUAAGCGGCAACUAGUCUACGGAUACUAUAGCAAAUUCCAUGGCCACUAAGGCAUCUACAGUGUCUGUACGAGCCCUCCGACGCAUAUUACGUCUCUGACGUGAUAUACGUUUCUGUGUCGAAUCUCGCGAUUGUAAAGUACAAACGCACGUAACCGAGCGGCAGUUUUUUAAAGAAUAAAAUCGUGGAAGUCUUAUCUUAAAAUGGAGUGUGACGCUCGUUGUACCUGGAUAAGGAUCUUUUGAUUCCCCGUAGUGCCAAGGAGACGACGAAACAGAUAGGAGGAAGGCGCUGCUACGAAUCAUCGGGUGUGAAUCUCCAUGACUAACGGCGCUGGGCGUUCUACCUCGCGGACGAGAUACAGGAGGCAGUGCGGUAUGCUGGGUGGGUAUAGGAGCAACGGGAGCCUGAGAAUGUAGGUAAGGUAGAGCGAAUUUGGUCGAACGGGAAUACGAAGACUUCGCAAGUACCGCACAGAAUCACGACUGGCGUCGUUAAUGCAGAUUGGCUCGAUCCUGCUGGAUGAAUCACGUGCUUUCCGGAGUGCGUGGCUGCACGCAUAUUACGAGGUGUGCGUGCGUGAGAGGGUGGGUGGAUGGGAUGAUGGGUUUGCGGUGGUGGGAAAAAAGGAGGUAGAGCUGCGUGACUCACGAGUCAUCGUCAAGGAGUUUCCAAUGUACGGUUAGAUAGCGGUGAUACUUCUGGGACUCAUUGAUUUAUCACGAUUCGAGAGGAAUAAGUACGUAUCAGUUUCCGUCGUGUAUAGUUGAUUAAUAAUCACUAAGAAUAUUUUACACAUUUUUAUUAUCCAACGUGCAUUCGUAUACGUGUUACGUCGAGUAACAUUGGCGAGUGUCGCGACGAGGAAGGAUGAAAAAAUUGUGAUCUUUCUUUGCAUUACUUGUCUUAACAAAUAGAAUUUCUUAUUGAAACGUCUGUGAAACGACGUUAUACUCGGUUAUACUGUAUUUACUGAUUAACGAAUUUAUUCGAACAUACUUAUUGAUUUAUAUUGAAUUCACGACUAAUCAAUAUUGUUAUUUUCAGUUUUAGCUCUUAUCACCUCACCUGCCUGUCCUCUCGAUUACUUUAUUCUUUGUUUAAGACGAUUCCUCGCCUGAUAUCGAUCUCAACUGGAUUUCUAUUGCUCACAGCGGAAAUUCGACGUAGGAUAGAGAAUAUUAAAUAACAUAACAUAAAUAAAUGGUAUGAUCGUCUACUUACUGAUUCGAUGUGCUGAUGAUGACACAAGUUUCAAAUGAAAUGCAAAGGACGAGCAGAGAUGCUCUCUCGCACAUAGAAUAGAUGCGACGCAUCAUCCCUAGGGAUGUUCAGCCAAUCUCCACCCUUGGGAUGAAGAGAGUUGGUUCCACCCUUUGGCUCUGACCCGGUUUAUCAUCCAAUAGGAGAGCAGGCAUUGUCAUCGAAACUGGGGCAGUCUCGAAGGGGUUGAGAAAAGCAACAGCCCCUUCUAUAUCUAUAUACAAAAGAUCAAGUCCGUUAAGAUUCCCCUGGAGAGUACAGGAUUAUAAAGAUAAUCAAAACGGUGCUCAAUAAAUUUCAUAGUGACUUCUGACGGAUUUCACCAGAGCACAUACACACUCAUCUAGGAUUUUCUCCAUAGCAGGUAGCCGAUAGUGUGUGUUUAUUUGCCAAGUGAUAAAGCCGUCCAAGAAUAGAGUCGCGGUUCGAGGUGAGGUGCAUUUAUCGCUUAGGAACCAAGGCGAUCCACGUUUCACGUAAUGGAAAUGGCAACCAUCAAUAAUUAACGAGCUCGCCUAAGAGUACUUACUUACCUACUCACUUAAGUUAUAGUAACAAGCUCAUUGCGUUGAUAGAUAGUCUUUGUUUGCCGGGAGACAUUUUUCUAUGUCAUCGUUGGCAAAACGAUAAGACGCACAGCGGAGAGGUCAAACCCGAUAUUUUUCGUAUGCACGUGUUCCUGGGUUUACAAUAUUUUCGUGCACUUUUCAUGCAAGCUCUAUCAAUACUCGUCCUUUCUUUUUUUCCUGGUAUAAUUAACGCUAUUGCGUUUUCACUAUUGCGCUCAUUGAAAACAAGUAGUAAAAUGCGCUACGCUGAAAAUUUCUAACGAUAUAAAUUCUUUCGUUCUGCGAAUACUUAUCAGCUGAAUGUUAUAGCUACUAAGUUAUUCAUGCCGAUAGGACUGUCUCUUACGUCUAUGCGAAGAGAACGAUAGGCGGAGGACUGUUGUUGGGUACUUUUGAAAUAAUUAUAUACUGGAUAAUUAUAUCGUUAAGAAUUCUGCAUAUUGAAGGGAUCAGCUAUCGUUUCAUUUUUUAUCCUUUUUUUUUCUAUGUCGUAUUUAGUAUUCAAUUUUUUCUUAUUUAUCAUAAACAAUUCACUGGAUCAUUUUCAAUCCACAGUUACUCACGUGUGAACGUAUGUGCUGGAUUAUCCAUAUAUUUGUAUGGUUACCUUCGAGCGGAUAUCUAGUACAGAAAUAUUUUUCUCUAAUAAUAUACACUAUCAUUGCCAUUUGAUAAGAAAUAUGGUACAUAGUUGCCAUUGAUAAUCGUAAUGGUAGCUGGUCAUAAGGUGAAUUGAUCUAUAGCGCACAGUUUGCCUUGCAUCAUUACCUCUGGUUAGAUUAGUUUCUGACCGAAGGUCACAGGCUGGUUUAAGAUAAAUUUAAUACUAGGAAAAAUAUUAAUGCUAGAAAAUAUUAAUACUAAUUUAAUACUAGAAAAAUUCAUAUUUAUCAUAGACAGGUCAGAAAGGAUAGGCGCAAGAAAUGACUUUCGUUCCACAGCAUCUCUGUGAGUAUUGCUAUGCCACGGUGAAAGGCUGGACCAUUUUAGACAAGAUUUGUGGAGGGGAUAUCUCAUCUCGUAUUGGUCCCAACGUGCCAACCAAUCGGAACGAGGGUAUGAAUUCUUGCGCAACCUCUCUGCAUCCAACUUGGUCCCCACACUUAUCUCAUAGAAAUCAAUACAGGACAUACACGUACCAUAUUCCAGACGUACCUGGUGGCACGCGCCACGCGCCGCUCGCCAACAGCUGCUCCCCAUCUCGAUGCACGGGAGGUGAAGGAUCGACCGGGAGGAGAAAGAAGAGGAAAGGUGAAUGCACACCUUGUGCCGAAGACACGCAUUGCCGGUUUGGGAGAUGCCGAGUAUGUGGAGCCCAAUGAUCUUGUUCAGCUGCAACAUCUUGCCGGUGCACGAUGUGUCAGUGCCGUGAAUGCGUCGGUACGUGAGUACGUGUGAAUGCCUGGAUGGCACCUGCUACUGCUGGCAACGACAAGAGACGGGCAUGAAGCAGCAGCAUGAACCAGCAGCACGAGCCCUGGCUUCGUCGCCUAUAGCUUUUCUGUCUCGGAAGUCGAGCUGACGCUAUAUCUGCUCGAGGAAAGCGAGAGGAGAUGGCCUCAAGAUCCUUAUCCUUUGGAGCAGCCGCACAGUGUUUCGGUGUGGAGGGAACUUUACACUGACACCGCUACAUUAUUCGGAGUCAUCCAAGGCAGCUGGAUCUUUUUAGCGUCAUCUGCCUCGGCAACGCGAGAUGUGAUAACCAUCCCUCUCGCUAUCCCUAUGCAAUAAUGGAUAUUUAUUAUCACCGUAGAUACAGCUGACACGCUGUGAAGGAGUCAGAGAUAUUAUUUUUUAACUAGCUGCAUCCCCGUGGAGGGGGUAUCGGUCUUGCUCGAGAAAAAUAAGUGACGUUAAUGAUAUACGAGAUAAUAAUAAUUUUCAUGGUCGUACCGAUAUCUGUAUGUAUGUAAAAUUUAUUGAUUGAAAAAAAA